UGGGGAAUUUUGGACAAUGGGCGAAAGCCUGAUCCAGCAAUGCCGCGUGUGUGAAGAAGGCCUUCGGGUUGUAAAGCACUUUUGUCCGGAAAGAAAUCCUUGGCUCUAAUACAGUCGGGGGAUGACGGUACCGGAAGAAUAAGCACCGGCUAACUACGUGCCAGCAGCCGCGGUAAUACGUAGGGUGCAAGCGUUAAUCGGAAUUACUGGGCGUAAAGCGUGCGCAGGCGGUUUGCUAAGACCGAUGUGAAAUCCCCGGGGCUCAAACCUGGGAACUGCAUUGGUGACUGGCAGGCUAGAGUAUGGCAGAGGGGGGUAGAAUUCCACGUGUAGCAGUGAAAUGCGUAGAGAUGUGGAGGAAUACCGAUGGCGAAGGCAGCCCCCUGGGCCAAUACUGACGCUCAUGCACGAAAGCGUGGGGAGCAAAACAGGAUUAGAUACCCUGGUAGUCCACGCCCUAAAACGAUGUCAACUAGUUGUUGGGGAUUCAUUUCCUUAGUAACGUAGCUAACGCGUGAAGUUGACCGCCUGGGGAGUACGGUCGCAAGAUUAAAACUUAAAUGAAUUGACGGGGUCAUAGCUGUUUCCU
rnacentral:rRNA from 1 species